rnacentral:rRNA from 1 species
AUGGAUUUCAUAGAAGGCUUACCGCGCUCGGAUGGUGCUGAUGUGAUCCUAGUGGUGGUUGAUCACCUAACAAAGUAUGCCCACUUUACCGCGCUGCAUCACCCGUUCACGGCUCCUCAGGUGGCACGGACAUUCCUUGAUAACAUUGUCAGAGUACAUGGAGUUCUAGAAUCCAUUGUCUUGGACCGCGACAAGAUCUUUACAAGCGCUUUUUGGAGGGAAUUGUUUGCACUGGUUGGAACUAAACUGUUGUAUACCACGGCGUAUCACCCACAGACGGAUGGCCAGAACGAGCGCGUCAACCAGUGCCUUGAGCACUACCUGCGCCGCGCCGUCCAUGACACGCCGCAUCGCUGGAAGAAGUGGCUACCUAUGGCGGAGUUUUGGUACAACUCCAGCUACCACAGUGCAAUUGGUUGUACGCCGUUCAAAGCUCUAUAUGGUGUUGACCCCAAUUUUGGAGCUCUGCCCAAUCUGUUUAACGUUCAGACUCCGGAAUCACUACAGGACCUAGCCGCAGAGCAUUAGCAGUUCACUGACAUGCUCAAAGACCACCUGCAGCGCGCCCAGCAUCGCAUGAAGCACCAAGCUGAUCGCAAGCGCACAUAGCGGGAGUUCAGCAUGGGCGACCAAGUGCUACUCAAGUUGCAGCCCUACGUCCAGUCAUCGGUGGUCAACAGGCCAUGUCCGAAGCUCGCCUACAAAUUCUUUGGACCAUAUACAAUCCUCAGCCGCAUUGGAUCGCUCGCCUACAAGUUGGAUCUGCCACAGGAAAGCAAAAUUCACCCGGUUUUUCAUGUUUCGCAGCUAAAGCCGUACACAGCGGACUACCCACCAAUCUUCAAUCAGCUACCAGCGCCACCGGACCUCACCUCGGUGACCUGGUGCCGCACGCUAUUCUGGAGCGCCGCCUGGUCAAGAAAGGGAAUGCCGCCAUCCCACAGGUACUGGUGCAUUGGCGUACCUUGUCACCAGCGAGUGCCACCUAGGAGAACUACCAUGCAUGUGUUGCAGCAAAAAUUCCCAAACAUGGAUCACGAAGGGGGAGCUCCGCCUCAAGCGGAGGGAAAUGUCACGCCCUUCCCUCCAGAGAGGAAGGCGAACUGUGAGGCACCCACGGUGCGUGACGGAGAAGAGGAAGACUAG